AACCCAUGGUUGGGGGCAUUUCUUUAGCAAGGCGUUGAAUCUCUCCCAAGCCUCGAACAUAGACUCUUGGCCCUUCAUUUUAAAGUGGGAGAUCUCUGCUUGGAGGUU